rnacentral:rRNA from 1 species
GUGUACGUACAAGCAGUGGGAGCCUCUUUUAUGGGGUGACUGCGUACCUUUUGUAUAAUGGGUCAGCGACUUAUAUUCUGUAGCAAGGUUAACCGCAUAGGGGAGCCGAAGGGAAACCGAGUCUUAAUUGGGCGCUAAGUUGCAGGGUAUAGACCCGAAACCCGGUGAUCUAGCCAUGGGCAGGUUGAAGGUUGGGUAACACUAACUGGAGGACCGAACCGACUAAUGUUGAAAAA